AGGAACGAUCGAGGUCCUGCGAGUCCUGCGAUCUGAUCCUGGCGAUCCCAUCGCGCUAUUGAAACCGCGUGCGAUCGUGCGACCAAGAGAAUCGCGCUCCAUUCCCUUCGGCCGCUUAUUUUUUUCUUUACAGAUUAUAUUAAACGUCCUAGUCUCUGUAAUUAGGAUAUCCCAGUUUCUCUCCGUUACACUUUCACACAUUUUUGUGUCCCUAUCGAGCCACGAUAUAUCGAUCUUCGCUUAAUAAAUGGUCGAGGUAAUAGCCGUUUAUUUAUAUAAAUAAACGCGAGUGCAGGAAUAGCCGGCGCAGUCUUGCUCGGUGCUCAAUCUAAUUGCUCAAGAACUGUACUUGCAUUUACAGCUGAAUAAUAGAAUAACAUGUAGUAGUGCAAAUAGAUUGUCGCUAAAGAAAGUCGAUGUUGAUAAUUCUGAUAUUUGUAAUCGCAUUGUUUUUUUUUGUCUAACGUAGUUGCAAGUUUUAUUUUUCGUCUGAUAACGUUUUCUUUUUCCAUAAAUGUAACACGAGAGAAAAGAGAAAGAGAAAGAGAAAGAAGGAGAAUCGGAGGACAACUGUAUUUAGAAGUUGGAUGCAAUUGGAAGAUGCGAGUCCAGUAUCGAUGUACGCAUGUGUGAUCGAUAUCGAUCUAUCGCUCUUUAAGAAAUAAGCAACGCUAGAUCUCUCUCCGCCUCAAUCUCAGUAUUCUGAGCAUUUUCAUCCGCGUUACCUCAACUCUGAACAGCGCUAUAAAAACAAUAUCGAGCUUUCGCAUAAUAAAAUGGACAUAUUGAGUGUUAUUGAUCAUAUGUUCAAAUGAUAUAAAUGGCGAAAACUGUUAUUCAAUUAUACAUCUGGAAAUGGACAUUUUGGCGAUAAUAAACCGACAGGACAUUACUAAUUCUGCCGUAAAGAUAUAUUUAAACUCGGGAGGAUCUUUUUGUCUAAUACAAUUUCAAUUUCUACUUUUCGCCUAAUAACGGUUUUUUUCCAUGAAUGUAACAAGAGUGCAAAGAGAGAGAGACUCAGACAACCACAUUUAGAAGUUGAACACGAUUGGAAAAUGCGAGUUCGUGUCGAUACGCGCGAUAAAAACAGUAUCGAGCAUUCGCCUAAUAAAAUGGACACAUCGAGUGUUAUUGAUCAUAUGUUCAAAUGAUAUAAAUGGCGAAAACUGUUAUUUAAUUAUACAUCUGGAAAUGGACAUUUCGGCGAUAAUAAACCGACAGGACAUUACUAAUUCUGCCGUAAGGAUAUAUUUAAACUCCAGGGGUUAUCGAGCCUCCCCCUCCCCCCCUCGCACUAUAUCGAGAAUUUUUGGCGGAAGAUAACACGCAACAAUAUCUAAUGUCUCUGUUACGUGUUGUACGUUCAAGUGUUAUUAGUUAUCUCAAAAUUGACGGAAAUUGAGCUUGCAACAUAUUGUCGAAAUAAAUGCGUCAUGAGGGAAAUGCGGCAUCGGUUUACGUCUGUGCACGUUACUUAAAUUAAAUUUGCGCGUCCCGCAAUUUACCUCGUGCAGCUUUUAGAAUGCAUUUCGCGCAACUUGGUGUUUUCGUAUAACUUGCGACGCGGGGUCGUCGUUUUGGCCGCGUCGUUUGCUAUUCAAGAGCCCGAAAAUUAACCCGUAGCCGAGCACAAAAAGACGUACGCGUGCGAGACGGGACGAGAGAAAGAGAGCGGCCACGUACAUACACGCGCGACAUUGUCACGUGCGUGUGCGGCGAGAAAAUUAUUUUUUCAUCCCGAGUAAAAAUAGGCACAUAGAUACCUGUGUGGGUACGAGAUAUUCAAAAUCCGAAACGAGCUCUCUCUGAUAUUCGCGAAAGCAGGCGCAAAAGUGGUACGCGAGAUGAAAUGCGAUAAUAUUUUUUAAUAAUAAAAAUAUCUCCGAAUAUAUACCGUAUAUCGAUGUUUCGUGAGAUUUCACGAUACCUCAGUGUGGCGUACAUUUAUUAUUAUUAAAUAUCUCGAAUACCUAAAUGUGAAUUCAAUAAAACUCCGCGAAAUUUCCGUUAAAGUUUUCGAUCGAGACUUCGCGGAAGAAUAAAUUUGUUGUUUCGCAGUUAAGAGAUGGAUAUAUAAUUUCUUACCAAAAAUUUUUGCCUCAAGAGUGCAUAGCUUUGGUCAGUCGCGAGCCGACAGUGAUUUCGCGCGGGAUCAUCGCAACGUGACUCCUGUGCCUCUCGUUCCACGGCAGAUUCGAGCAGAACGCAAGACCAACAGCGCGCUCACGGAUUUUCUCACGGAUCUUUGCGGUGUCAUUUACACGCGAAUCCGCCUCCGCGAGUUCGCGUCCUUAGAACACGUAAGGAGCGAAAGAGGAGUCUCCCCCGACCGCAAAAGUCGAGUCGGGAAAACGCGAUCUUCGCGCCGGAGCAGGGAAGAGGGGGGUGUAAAUCAAGACGGAAAAUGAACCGGCGAUGCGAUACUCGUUAUUAUCCUCCUAAAGCACCCCGGAAGCUGCACGUAACGAUCUUACGUCGCCGACGUUCGCGGUUGCGCCAUUUCGUGCAGGGGAAAAAAAAAGACGGAAAGGAGAUGGCUUAACGGUGGAUACAUAAUCUCAAAUAUCAUUCCGCUCGGGAACGCGCGAGGAUGUGAGCAGUGUCAUGCCUGAUGAAGAACAAUCCCAACGAAGACUCGUUGGGAAUUUGAGUCCAUGAUUUUCCUGAUAAUAAUUUAACGGCGAUUUAUUUAGCUUGCAUGGAUACCGAUUCACUCCAGUCGCCAGUUGAGAUAUUAAUGGAUUUCUCAAAUGUUAUAAGGAAGAAGCAAACUUGUAACGCGACUCUAUUUUUACUAAUUAGAAAUAUUAAUUGUUCAAUCGAAGUUGGAUCAAUAGGGACCCACUUCUCGUUCGCUUGUCACGAGCUUGCUGCUACAACGUCUAUCUGGCACUGAAAAAUUUAUCUACUUCGGUUUCCGAUCAGUCGACAUGUGCAGCAAUUCGUCCAAAAUAUUUCGCAUACAGGAUACUUCAGAAUAUCAAAACGUGAAUACAUGAUGUUGUUUCCUGUUCUUAAAGGAGUCUCAAAAUGACUAAUGAAAUUCUAAUUGUCGAAAAAAGUGACGAUCCUUUCUCUUUUUCUACAUUCGACAACAUAAAAUCUUAAAAGUUAAAACUCCAGAAUAGUUCAAGAGGAAUAAUCCAAUAAAUAAAACACAAAAUAUUUUCAGAGAAUUUUAAAGCACAAAGUGGAAAAACAUCUAUAAUUUUAACAGAAUCAUCGCGCAGUCUCGGUGACGAUGACAAGCGGUAAAAACAGAGUUCUUCCCCCUUUCCUUUCUCAUUCGAGAGCUCGAGAGUUAAUUGCAUUAGUUCCGAUGACUUUUCCUCGACCAUUCGGUCUAUUCCUGAGGGGGAGGAAGGGGACCCGACGCGAGGAGAACGCGUGAGUCGCGUGCAGAUGGCAAGCCGGUGUGCUUGGUAAUUGUGCAACGCAAUAAUAAGAAUAACAGUAAUUACGACCCUUCGCUGUGCAUAAGAACCGACGAGAGUGAAACGUUAAUUUUCGAAGGGAACACCGUAAUCUCAAUCAGUCGCGACGACAAUCGGAAAAAUCCCGCGGCGGUGGGAACGCGAUUGUGCGGGGCCAAGCAAUUGUAAUUCAUUCGAAUGUAAUUACGAAGAAAUUCGAACGUAAUGUUACACGAGAACAAACGCAGUUAAAGAAAAAAUUAUUUAUGGCGGGAUUAAAUUGAAGGUGUUCUCGUGCUCGUAGCGUGGAUUCUUUCUCAAGAAAUAUGAUCAUCGUCGAUCAUUACUGAUCGCUCGUCAUCACGAUGUUAAACGUUGCUCACUAAUCAUUGAUUCAAAGCACGUGAUUUCCCGACAUUGACGAAUUCCUGCCGUCAAUGCUGCGAUAAUCGCGUGUCGAUUGCAGGCGGAUACAAUUUCUCGAGAGACGGCAGGUGCUUAAAUUAACAUUUAACAUUUAAGGAGAAGAUGUAGGGAGGACAUUCCGCGAUGUAGCGCGAGCGGAACGGAAUAUCCGCUCGGGGUUCGCCCCCGAGAUACGAAAAGAGCUCGCCAUCUCUCGCGAAAGCGAAUCACAAAGAGAAAUAUUGUUGAAUCUUAUAUCUCGGACGGCGCAUUAAUGAAACACUCGCGCUCGCGCCAUUCUGAAAUUACUCGGGAUCGUCUAGACUACUCUCGGCCGGGCCCCAGGAUUCUCUUCGUCGAGCGAGCGGAGCGGAGCUGCAGAACGGAUCCCCGCGAUCUUUAAUGAGAAUAAUAGAACACGACUAAUAUUAGAACUGGCCGGCCGGCUCUAAGCUCAAUGUAGGAACUCGAUCAAUUAUUCAGUUUCAUAUAAUUCUGAAUCGAUCCCUUGCAAUCCUUAAAGGAGGAAGUGGAUUGGCUGCUUCGGAGGACCGGAUGUAGCAAGUUCCGGUGCACGGCGAUACGUACGCAUAACGAAUGUAAGAGAUGGAUUUCCUUGAAAUAAAUUUCGAGUACAGUUUCUAUAAAAUUUCAGCAGCGCGCACAACACGUUUAUACAUGUAUGAUUCAACAUUUUUAUCAAAUUUUAUGUUCUUUCCUUAAUCUUUAUUUACGUCUGCAAGUCGUGACGGAUUUACAAUUUAUGAUGUAAACGAACGCGCAUCAGGUGAACUGGUGGAUAUUUUUACGUUGUGACGGUUUAAAAGUGAGUUCUCUAACAAGCAAGGAAUUCCAGAUAUCGUUCUGCAGCACGUUUAAGGUCCGUGAAUACUAUCGAGGAUCGGAGCUCGACAGAUUGCGGAGGAUUAGGCCCGCAAGAACACCAUGAAAUCACACGAUACUUGUUGCACGUGACAUGCACAUGUUGUGCGCAUGUGUUUAAAACGUGUAAAAAAAUUAGUUGCCGAUCCACUCCGACGUUCCUCCCGCGCUCGAGUCCUCUUAAUCGUCUCUCUCGUUUCUUUCAUCCCUCUAAAAAAAUAUAUAUAUAUACAUACAGCCCCCCCUUCUCUCUCCUCCCGGAUGCGCAAUGAGGAGGGCAACGUCCUCGUUCGCCGGGAUCGACGGCGAAUUUAGCAAUCCACCCUUCCCCUUGCCGUGCUGUCCCUCUCGCCCCCGCGAGAGAACAGAUGCAUCCGUCUCACCAGGAUUAAUAAUGAAGCCGCGCAGUUUUGCGAUUCUAGACAGCAAAUAAUGAGUGUAAUAAUUCGAAGAGCGCGCUCGGCGAAGUCGCGGUCACGUGGAUACCCCGUGGCGUGCUCUAUAGUCCUCGCGCGAUCGGCGUCCAGAAAUACAACCCUCGCGGCACGGCACGGCGCGGCGGGGUGGUAUUCGUCAACUUGCACGUCGCCUUAACCCUGUCCAUGAAAAAUGCAAUCGCUCGUUCGCUCGGCGUCGUAACGCUGGCGUUUUUCAUCGGACGAUGACCGCGGAUCGAAGCUUUCGUCCGCUUCAAUGCUCCCUACUAUUCCGGCAUACAUUUUAAUUUCGAUUCCAUAUUAAGGCGAUGUGGUCUCUCGUAGGAAUACGCAAGUUAUUGCUCGAAACCGAUCAAAUAAAUGCCACCGCGUGGAUUCCAAUAUCCAGCUGCGUGAAUAGUUAAUUUUACAUCGUUCUUGCUUCUUCAAUUUCCGCGCAGGUAGCGUUCUCAAAAUUUCAUUCCGCUUUUUGCGAUAGUACGGUACGCGAAAAUUUUCAUCGGUCGAUUCAUUAACCCGCACGGCAAGGAAAUGGUCGCGCUGCGUCGCCCGGGAGCUUCUUUAUAUCGAUCGGCCCGGCGAGGAUCCGGUUAGGUGGGACGAUUCGGGCAUACCCGGCUGCGGCGAAUUAGUUUUCGUCGAAUUAAUCGAGCGCAUUAAUCCAAUCAAGUCGCACCCGGAUUCCAUUCGGAUUCAAUCGCGCCGGCGGCGGCCGCGUUAAAUUAAAUCGCGCGGCCGAUAUCGCGAUCCGGCUAUGUACGUCACGCUUUUAAUCGGCCCGAAUUAGAAUCGUUAAUUGCCCGCGAGUCCUCCAAUCGGGCACGAUGCACGUGUCGGUCGCGAUUGAGAGGUCGAAGGUCCCGAACUUGCGCGCACCAAUGUCACCGUCGAAUCUUGUGGAUCUUACCGCGUGGCGGAUACGCGUAUCGGUCGAUCCGUUCUUGCUUUCUUCCGUAUCUGCAUCGGUGCCCGCUUCCGGCUGUGCAUCUCUGCAUGGAGGAAUAAUUUAUAAGCUAAAUCUGCCGUUGAUUCUCUCUCUCUCUCUGUCUCUCUUUCUCUGGAAUAUACGUAAGACACGAAUGGAAAUAUAUUGCAUAUGUUUUAUUUCUAAUAUAUUUAAUAUUAACGUAUUUAGUUAUUUUGUGAUGAUAAUUCUACGUUAAAUAUUUAAUCCGAAUUUCUAACUUAUUUUGAUGUUUCUAGUGUAUUAUAAAUUGCGUAAAUAAUAUAAAUCUUUGAAACACAUUUAAGCAGCAACAAAGUUUCAAGAUAUUCUUAAUAAAUUCUUGACAUAAUUGUGUCAUAUAAAAAAACGAAAAAUUCCCUGUCGCCGUUAUGAUAGAAUAACGCGCGGGGCAACGCGCGAACGCGUCUCGAAAUAGCUGGCACACGUUAUUGUUGAGUUUAGCGAAACCGGAGUUUAAAUAUCUACCGGAUGUUUGGCGUGUAUAUCACUUCGUAAAUUUAAGGUUUAUGGUCGUGCUCCUUUCCCGCUCUCGCCGGCACGCGGCUGGCGUCUCUCGUCGAGUGAUCUCUUUGCUUUCGCCUUUCGUUUCCGCACGACUUCCGCUUCUUCCAGAGAAAUAAAAACUCAAUUUAAAUGGGAAAUCAAGAAAAAUCGAGAUAUUACGUACGGAGCUUCUAGAAAAUUUUGAAAAAAGUAAAAGAAAUUCUGGAAAGAUGGAAAUCACAGAAAUAGAAACUAAAAAUCGUACGAAUUGUGUAUAUGAAAGCUUCUGAAAAAAUAAAUACGAUACAUGUUGCUUUAGGAACCACCUGGAAACGAUGUAGCAAAUCAUUGAAACUCGAAAAGUUCCAAGUAAUCGAGAAAGCGCGGUGAGGGGGGAAAUCGGCGGAACGAUCUGCGACGAAAAACAACGACAGAGCGGGGGUGGACUAUAUCCAGGGAGGCAAGCCCGACGAGAGGGAUCUACCUCAAACAAACUGCUAAACAAGCGAGGAUCCCCAGCAGACGCAAUUGUUGAACAAACCGGGGGGAACGCGAGUUCGCGAUAUUUAUCGGCGUACACGCGCGCGUUACACGCGUGCACGAUCGAGACGUGGUCCCCGCGGCGAAAUUUAUUAGAACCGUCGCGCCGUAGGCGAGAAGUGUCGUUUAAUCCUGAUGCACACUCUCUCUCUCUCUCUCUCCGCACUCCUCUUUCCACUCUUCCCCGUCCGCCUCGUGAAGCACCGGCCGCUUAAGCGCCGUUAACGAUGCGAUCGCGAUCGCGCGCGGAUUUCGGGGACACCCGUUGUGCAGGAUUUCCAGUCGCGCACCGGUCGGUCGCCGGCCGCCGACGGCAAAUCUUGCACUAUACAAACCCCGGUAUAUCUACGCGCGCGGAAGGUACACGACUCUAAUACAUAGUUCAGCACUCUAUCUACAUACGUGCGCGAGCUAACAUCGCGCUAGCCUUCCUUGUUUAUCCCUCGCUCUCCCUCCCUCCCGCGCCCUCUCUGCGUCUCUCCCUCUUGCCCUCUUGCACCCCCGCGUUUCCAUCCCCUAUUUCUAACCCUGCCUGCCGAACACGCCCCGAAACUGCAUCGUGCAUGAGCCACCACGUCGUGCAUGCACGCACGCACGCAUGUACGCAAGAUACGCACAUGUGUGUAUCUCUGCGCUGCGCUCGGCCGCGCUGCGGCUUACUGCAGCCUGGAACAUUAUUCAAGGGAUAAUCCAUUCCUUAUAUAUUAAACUACGGAAGGACGAUCUAUUGGCGCGAUAGAUCACGGCUCUCUCGAAAUUCGUCGGGGAUCCUGCGCGCCAUUUCUCUGUUUCUCGCUUUCUCUCUAUCUCUCUUUCUGUCUCUCUCCCCUGUCCUCUUUCCCCGGCGAAGAAAAUUGUCAGACGAUCCGAUUGCAGCAUGUAGACGAGAUAAAAAGGUUUAUACCUGUCUCCCCUCAGUGAGAAAUCAGUUUGAUACAGUCGAAUAUUGUAACGUUGCACGUGCGUCUCUUCAGAAUGGGUAGCUUCAGUGGCAACGUGCCGUUCAAGGAAUUGUCUCUGAUUAUUUUCUCUCUUCAUUAUAAUCUUCAAUAAUAUUUUCAUUAUUUCAGCUGCGAUGUAAAAAUACAGAUGAAAGUCCCACCUCCAUUCUUGAAAAAUCCAAUUCAUCACUUGAUUUAAGAAUGAUUACCUUGAUUAUUUUAAUUAUUUCAAUUAAGGUGUGAGAUCGAGAUGUUGCGACGGCGCUUUUUAAUUCAUUCAUUCGGUGGUGGUGCCCGGUUUGUGUUGAUUUUACGUGUGAAAAUAAUAUGAACGCGCGAUCUAAUAAGGUUCCGAUCUAGGCCAGAAAUUAAUCUUAUAUGCAAUUUAACGCGGACCACUUACUCUGAAAGUGGCAUGAGUCAGUUCGUGGAGAAAGGUAUUAAAUUUAAUUUAAAUAAGAUGUGGUUAUAUAGAGAUUUCACGAGAGAUAUGCGUCUAUUUUCAUAAGAUAUCCAAUAUCUGACUUACGUCGCUUUAGAAUGAAGGACGAUUGUCUAAUAAUACAUGGCGACUCCCUCACGGAGUUAAAAUCUGAGAUAAUUAUUUGAAUUAAUUUCUCUUUUAUGAAGCAUCCUUCCAGACGGCUGUUAUCGAUUAGAAUAAUAGUCAUUCGAUACCCGUCGAGUUGAAUCGCGUCUCAAAACAUUAACGUUCUGCUGUAAUUACGGUACGGACGGUACGAAAUGAGACAGAACGUAAUUUGAAAUUAUUAUUUCAAAAAAGAGGAAAUACCAGAAAAAUCAUUUAGCGAUUUAUAGAUUCUUAUAAACAUUCAAAGGACGAUUUAUGUCGUCUUAGACAUCGUUCGCUGCGGCAAACGAUUGUCCUGGUAACAAAACUAUAUAGAAUUCGAAAAUGUGCAGUUAUCGCAAUUAUCCGAGAAACGGCAUAAUCCGACUUCGAGUAUUCUUACAUCCGCCCUCAAUAAUUAAUCAGACCCGUAAUUAAUUUAUCUGGAAUUCGAUCCGUUAAUCCUAUUAGCGCAAACUCAUUUAUAGAUCCCACGAAUUCAGUAAGAAUUUAUAAAGCUAAUUGUAAAAGAAUGAUCGCUUAAAUUCAACGAGGCUGAGGCGCGAGUCCAACGCUUGUCGCGACGGCCGUGAGGUCUUUGUACCCUAAAGGUACAAGGACGGUGUCCGUGAAGUCGUCGUCGAUUUGGAUUACGGGGUAAUUUCGGCCGGAUCGAGAGGCUACUCAACUCUAUUGAAAUAAUACACAGCGCGAAGUAUUUAUACCGGAGAGCCUUGUUCUCUCGACGGGAGUGCUGAAGGAGGAGCUGGGGGAGGAGGAGGUCGCCAGGGUGACGGAGGACGAAGCGGUGGAAGGGACGGAAGAAAGGGAGAAGAGAGGUUCUUGCAGCUCAAAUACAAAUAUACGAACCCACCGACGCUUACCUUGAAACUCCCUCGUCGUCCCUGAAUCGUGAACGUGGAAUUGUCCGCGCGCUGCGAUUCCGGAGUGCCGCGGAGUACGAUUAGUUAAGAAUAGAUGGGUCGAUAGUCGAACAGACAGAGACGGAUUCAUCGUGGAUAUCGCGGGAACCGAAGGAGACGAGAUAAGAGAAAUUUGGCGAUCUCAGUAAAUUGAGCGAAAUUUCAAGUGGACGAGAUAAGAGCAGCGAAUCCGAAUUUCGAUUUCGUUGCGACUAAAAGACAAACGGUUAAAAAUUCACUGGACAAAAAAUCUCGCAAAAUGUUUCUUAUGCGGAUUACCGUUGCGGCGCAUCUCGUUUCAACAGUAACGAUAAUAAAAAUCUGGAAAAUAUUAACAAUUCUGGAGUGAAACAGUCAAGUAGAAAGAACGAGGGAGGCCAAGAGAUACUUAGCAAGGUAUGAUUUUCUCAUCGGUCGAUGUGGAGAAUUACAAGGACGCAGAGCAGAAAAGGCAGAAUAAACGCGAGAAGAAAGAUUUACAUCGGAGAAGAAAGGGAACAAAGGAGAAUAUUUUAUUAACGGCAUAAAAAUGACCAUGGCCGAGAAAGAGAACGUGUUCCUUUUCCAGAAGAAACCUGAUGUAUAAAGUAUAGAUUACAUGAACGUAAUACUACUCCAUUAUUGUAAAAUAGGUAGUUUUACUCGUGCAGAACAUUGUUUCUUCAAUUUUACGCGAUCGCUACGCCCCCCAAGCGAAACUUCAUCCUAGAUUUUACUUUUUUCUUCUCCACGAAAUUAUGAUUAUAAUUAAAAUAAUAAUUAACGUCAGACGUUAAUUUAAGUCGUGUUUACCAGCAAAGAGAAAUUAAUUCUGUAUUGUUACAUUACACUGCGAAAAUUUAAUAAAAAACCGUGCAUGCAAUAUACUAAAAAAGUAAUAACUAAAAACAUUAUAACUAAAAAAGAUGAUAGAAUGCACAAACGAAAGCAGGAUAAAAUAAAAUUGUUGGUAAUUCAUCAAGGGACUAAAUCUUUGAGACGUCGAAUCCAAGAGAAGUGUCGACAAGUGUCUCAGAUCCUUUCUUUUUUAUCUAUCCUGGUUUAUCCUGUUGUGUGUUCAGAUUUCAGUUGACGAAAAAUUCAGUCACGUUAUUACAUCCCUGAAACGCUCGGUGGCGUUUACAACGUCACCCCCUUCGCUCCGGUCGUCCUCUCUCCAUCCCGUCGUCGGAACUACCCUCUCGGUGAGGAAGGGAGGUUCGUUUCGCUCUUUGUUUUGCUCGAAACGGCGCUACAGGUUGCCAAGAGAAGGGUCCUCGCGUGCCGCAUUUUACAGUCCGAAAUGACUCGCUCGACCAGCACGAAUCGGGAAAUGCGAGCGAUCCUCUCGAUGCACUUUCACUCGUUCGUUCGAUAUUAUAAUAAAAAUACAGAAUACCCCAGAAUAAACGGGCCAAAUUGCGUUGCCAGAUUUCUCAGUCGAAUCUGUCUCCUCUUCAUUUUCCUGAUCUUUUUCCUGUUUCGUUUUUUUUUUUAUCAAAAUUCUCAGACGAAAAUUUUGCGAGCGAAUAGGAGGUCGCGGAAUGGCAGCAUUUCUAAAUCCGCCCCUGGCAAUAACGGCGACGCGACGGGGUUGUUUUGCUCGUCAGUUCUCACACGUAUCGCGAAUUGUGCACCCGCGGUGGUGGCGGCGGCGGCAGCGACGCCAUUAUUAUCAGUCGCGCGAGAUAGCGCGAGACGGAAGGAAACGCUAAUCGGCGCGCAUCGCUCGUAAACUAUUUAGGCUCUCACGCCCUGUCACAGUAAUGACAACCCUUUCGCGCGUCCCCGAUUGAUAUCAGGAAAUCGCGGCGCGAUUGAGGCGGUUGUUUUCCACUGCAUAAUAACAGGGUGCAAUGUGUUAUAAACAACGCAAAUAAUAUCGUCGACAUCACAUUUACAUUCGGAGGGAAAGGCAAGACAAAAGACUCAUCCUACAUCAUGAAAGACAAACUAAUUCUCUCAGGUUAAUUUAAUAUAAUAAACUAUUUAACAUAAUAAGCAUAAUUAGUAAGUUAUAAUCAGAAUGCGUCACGUAAUUAUAAAAUGUAGUAUAAAAUUAUAUUUUUGGCAAA
rnacentral:lncRNA from 1 species